rnacentral:lncRNA from 1 species
CCUAGUGCCCACGUGGGGGCCACAUGAGGGGGGAACACGGGGCUCCCCUGCCAGAUAUUGUCCGGUUCUGGGGCUUCACGCAAGCGUCCUUCACCCCUCCCCGGUUUUGUUUUCCACCCAAAACGCGUCUGCAGGAUUAGGAGACACCCGCCUCAUAUGCCCAGGCUUUGAAACGAGUCUUUCCGAUGUGGGACUAUUGGGCCUCACAAACUUCAACUAGAAGCAAUAUCCACAGUGCCUGAUAUCAAGUUAAACUUCCCAAAUAAUUACAUUGCACGAUAAUAUCUCAUGAUUAAUAUUCCUUCACUUAAUUUAGUCAAAAUCUAAUUAAUCAUUGAAAUGCAAAUUGCUCUACCAAGAAAACUCUCAGAAUAACUUAUUCACACUUUGGUUACGGCCAUAAUUAGGUUGCAUUUUAAUUUUAGCAUUUCAAAAUUCUGAUAAAAUAAUAUAAAUUUAUCAAUAGCAAAAGCAAAUAAAUAUCUUCGUCUAAUGGCCUAAUGUCCACCCAUCUCUCAAAC